UGUCCUACGGGGGGCAGCAGUGGGGAAUAUUGCACAAUGGGGGGAACCCUGAUGCAGCGACGCCGCGUGGGUGAAGAAGUCAUUCGUGACGUAAAGCCCUAUCAGCAGGGAAGAAAAUGACGGUACCUGACUAAGAAGCCCCGGCUAACUACGUGCCAGCAGCCGCGGUAAUACGUAGGGGGCAAGCGUUAUCCGGAUUUACUGGGUGUAAAGGGAGCGUAGGCGGCGCGUUAAGUCUGAUGUGAAAACCCGGGGCCCAACCCCGGGACUGCUCUUGGAACUGCGUGGCUGGAGUGCAGGAGGGG
rnacentral:rRNA from 1 species